GCUGGUCGGUAAUCACCCCUGGAGGUGAUCACUGAGAACUCAACCAGCUGGUCGGUCAUCACCCCUAGAGGUGAUCACUGAGAACUCAACCAGCUGGUCAGUCAUCACCCCUAGAGGUGAUCACUGAGAACUCAACCAGCUGGUCGGUAAUCAACCCUGGAGGUGAUCACUGAGAACUCAACCAGCUGGUCAGUCAUCACCCCUAGAGGUGAUCACUGAGAACUCAACCAGCUGGUCAGUCAUCACCCCUGGAGGUGAUCACUGAGAACUCAACCAGCUGGUCAGUCAUCACCCCUAGAGGUGAUCACUGAGAACUCAACCAGCUGGUCGGUAAUCAACCCUAGAGGUGAUCACUGAGAACUCAACCAGCUGGUCAGUCUAUCACCCCUAGAGGUGAUCACUGAGAACUCAACCAGCUGGUCGGUAAUCACCCCUGGAGGUGAUCACUGAGAACUCAACCAGCUGGUCAGUAAUCACCCCUGGAGGUGAUCACUGAGAACUCAACCAGCUGGUCAGUCAUCACCCCUAGAGGUGAUCACUGAGAACUCAACCAGCUGGUCGGUCAUCACCCCUAGAGGUGAUCACUGAGAACUCAACCAGCUGGUCGGUCAUCACCCCUGGAGGUGAUCACUGAGAACUCAACCAGCUGGUCAGUCAUCACCCCUAGAGGUGAUCACUGAGAACUCAACCAGCUGGUCAGUCAUCACCCCUAGAGGUGAUCACUGAGAACUCAACCAGCUGGUCGGUCAUCACCCCUGGAGGUGAUCACUGAGAACUCAACCAGCUGGUCAGUCUAUCACCCCUAGAGGUGAUCACUGAGAACUCAACCAGCUGGUCGGUAAUCACCCCUGGAGGUGAUCACUGAGAACUCAACCAGCUGGUCAGUAAUCACCCCUGGAGGUGAUCACUGAGAACUCAACCAGCUGGUCAGUNNNNNNNNNNCUCAACCAACAAUGCCGUUUUAUAUAAUCUCGAUAAUGUUCAACCUGAAAGUAAAAACUAAAAUGGAAGAUAACAUGACCCGAUAUCAGCAGACUGGGCUGGAGUUAUACACUACACUGGAGUUAUACACUACACUGGAGUUAUUAUACAAUACACUGGAGUUAUACACUACACUGGAGUUAUACACUACACUGGAGUUAUACACUACACUGGAGUUAUUAUACAAUACACUGGAGUUAUACACUACACUGGAGUUAUUAUAAACUACACUGGAGUUAUUAUAUACUACACUGGAGUUAUACACUACACUGGAGUUAUUAUAAACUACACUGGAGUUAUUAUAUACUACACUGGAGUUAUUAUAUACUACACUGGAGUUAUUAUAUACUACACUGGAGUUAUACACUACACUGGAGUUAUACACUACACUGGAGUU
rnacentral:lncRNA from 13 species